rnacentral:rRNA from 1 species
AUUGAACGCUGGCGGCAGGCCUAACACAUGCAAGUCGAACGAGUGGCGGACGGGUGAGUAAUGUCUGGGAAACUGCCUGAUGGAGGGGGAUAACUACUGGAAACGGUAGCUAAUACCGCAUACCAUCAGAUGUGCCCAGCUGGGGUUAGCUAGUAGGUGGGGUAACGGCUCACCUAGGUGACGAUCCCUAGCUGGUCUGAGAGGAUGACCAGCAACCCGGGAACUGAGAUACGGGCCAGACUCCUACGGGAUGCAGCAGUGGGGAAUAUUGCACAAUGGGAGCAAGCCUGAUGCAGCCAUGCCGCGUGUAUGAAGAAGGCCUUCGGGUUGUAAAGUACUUUCAGCGGGGAGGCGUUACCCGCAGAAGAAGCACCGGCUAACUCCGUGCCAGCAGCCGCGGUAAUAC